ACUCAAAUGAAUAGACGGGGGCCCGCACAAGCGGUGGAGCAUGUGGUUCAAUUCGACGCAACGCGAAGAACCUUACCUGGGCUCGAACGGCGGGUAGUAGGCGCUUGAAAGAGCAACGAUCUCACUUUGUGAGAAGCCCGUCGAGGUGCUGCAUGGCUGUCGUCAGCUCGUGCCGUGAGGUGUUGGGUUAAGUCCCGCAACGAGCGCAACCCUCGCUCCUAGUUGCUACCAGGUCACGCUGAGCACUCUAGGAGGACCGCCAGCGAUAAGCUGGAGGAAGGUGGGGAUGACGUCAAGUCAUCAUGGCCUUUAUGUCCAGGGCUACACACGUGCUACAAUGGACGGUACAAAGGGCUGCAAGCCGGCGACGGCAAGCCAAUCCCAAAAAACCGUUCUCAGUUCGGAUUGCAGUCUGCAACUCGACUGCAUGAAGCUGGAAUCGCUAGUAAUCGCGGAUCAGCGCGCCGCGGUGAAUACGUUCCCGGGCCUUGUACACACCGCCCGU
rnacentral:rRNA from 1 species